GAAAAAUCACAAUAUUCAGAUAGUAAGAGUUUCUGGAUCCUGUUGUUUUCCGUUUGGGCUCGUUCGUAUCGGCGUGAGAGGCAGGUGGAGUCGUGCGAGGUUCGCAUGAAAGAUUUCUCUUUAGAUAACGGGUGUCAAAGAAACACUGGAACUUCGUGUACGAAACGAUCGAAUCGUUUAGGUAUGUUCCAAACAACCGAACAAUUUGUAAACUUCCGAAGGAUUUGUCUGCCAUGUGGAAUGGUUACCUACUGCUUCGUCGAUGCCAAGGUAUAACGAUGACAACGCGUUGGUCGAUUUCUCGAUCGAUUGGAGCUGCAACUUCAGAUUCAUCCAACCUGAACGGUGAGGCCAGGUACGAUGCCUCGGCAAACACCACAGCCAAGACGACCUUUCUCACCGACGAGUAUUCGGAUCCUAACUUCACUGUUUGAAACGGCUCCCACACCAGUCUCGUUGUACUGCAGCUGUUGUUGCUGCUGUUGCACCAUGUGCCAGCACGAGGACCUGCUGAUUUUUCACCAAAAGGGCAACUUCCUGAUGUACGGCAUCUUCAACUGGAUAUCCAUUUACCCUGAGGAUUUGAUCACCUACCUAUAACGAGUAAGUACGAGUCAAUUAAAUAGAAAUUGAAUUGAUCUUCUUAAUCACAUCAUUUAAUUCGACCGACCCUCAAUCCGUUUCUAUGAGCUUCGCCACCAGGUUGAACGUUACUGAUGUAAAAUCCAGCAGCGUAUUCUCUACCACCUCGCAAUGAGAAGCCGAAACCGGAUGCACCUCGACGUCUCAAUCUAACGUUCCUGGUAACGCCGAUGACGGCCAUUCUGCCGCCUCCCACCGGAUUUCCAGGACCUGCACCGUUCGAUGAUCCCGUUCCAGCACUAGAUGCGCUGGAAGAGCCACCGGAUCUGUAAACAUCGAAGGAUGGAUCUUACCUGUUCUUACAUCAUAAACUUUUGCCUACAUGUAAAAGAAGAAACGAAUACGUAUAUAUUUUCGUAGGACGAACGUCCACUCCUCGAUGCAAAAUGUGGAUAUUCUUCGAUGGAUCCUCCACUCAAACACUUUACAGAAGGUUCAUCGUACGAUGAAAGGGUUUCUUUUCGUCUCGAUUCUUCCUCUCUUUGGAUGAGAGGACUCUCCAAAGUGAUACACAAAGAUGAUAAGCUAGCCAAGCUAUUUUACUGUCUCUCUUUCUCCGACUUUUUUUUUUAUUUUUUAAAUAUCGAUUGAAUUCCUAAUUUCUUCGUACUUUUUAGAAAAGUCGAUAUGUCCGUUUUAUUAUAUGUUUUAGAUAGGAUCUCAACUUCGAUUUAAUUUUGGAUCUCGUUUAUAGCUAGCAUGUAUCUGUAUCUACGGGUUUGCGAUCGUUAAAGUCCAAUGGGAUCUUUUUAUCAUCGGCAACUUUCGUUUCUCCUUUUUCUACCUCCAUUUCAUCGUCGUUCGAACGUCGUUAAUCGGCAGAAAUAUUGACUCUGAAAGACGUCACGCCUUUCGAAUCGUCACGGAUAUCGCCAUGGCCGAGAACGUGGAUGGAAAACCGAUGGAAACGAGUAGCGGGAUCAUCGAUAGGUAAGUUAGAAUGAACAAAAGAGUUGGUGUAACGUAGGAUGAUUGUUAAAACGAUAUAUGUAUGCAUGUACGAACUUUCAUCGUCGAUCUUGUAACUGCAGUUUUAGAAUUUACAUACGUACCCAUGUAUAUUCUAGAAUACUUUAAAAUAUACAAUUAUCGCGUAUAAGAUAUAUAUAUUAUUAAUAUUUUUAAGAAUAUUCUAAGACAAAAUAUUAUAAUAUAAAGUAUAAAGUUUUAAUAGAUGUAAAAUUAGAAUAUGGUAUCAAAAAAAUAGUUAAAGAAUGUAUUAUAAAAUACUUUUUGAAUAUUUUAAUAUAUAUAUAUAU